CCUUCGAUAGCUCAGUUGGUAGAGCGGAGGACUGUAGUGGGUGAUAGUGCUGUCAUCCUUAGGUCGCUGGUUCGACUCCGGCUCGAAGGA
rnacentral:tRNA from 1 species